rnacentral:rRNA from 1 species
GAGUUUGAUAUGGCUCAGGACGAACGCUGGCGGCGUGCCUAACACAUGUAAGUCGUACGGGACCAGGGGCAACUCUGGUUCAGUGGCAGACGGGUGCGUAACACGUGAGAAACCUGUCCGACGGUGGGGGACAGCCGGCCCAACGGCCGGUUAAUACCGCAUACGUUCGCUCGGGGGCAUCCCUGGGCGAGGAAAGCAGCCACAAGGUUGCGCCGAUGGAGGGUCUCGCGGCCUAUCAGCUAGUUGGCGGGGUAACGGCCCACCAAGGCGACGACGGGUAGCUGGUCUGAGAGGAUGGCCAGCCACAUUGGGACUGAGACACGGCCCAGACUCCUACGGGAGGCAGCAGUGGGGAAUCUUGCGCAAUGGCCGCAAGGCUGACGCAGCGACGCCGCGUGUGGGAUGACGGCCUUCGGGUUGUAAACCACUGUCGGGAGGAACGAAUACUCGGCUUCGAAUAGGAGCCCGAGGGUGACGGUACCUCCAAAGGAAGCACCGGCUAACUCCGUGCCAGCAGCCGCGGUAAUACGGAGGGUGCGAGCGUUGUCCGGAUCACUGGGCGUAAGGGCGCGUAGGUGGCCCGUAAGUGCUGGUGAAUCCCG